GACGAACGCUGGCGGCGUGCUUAACACAUGCAAAUCGAACGAUGAAGCUGGAGCUUGCUCUGGUGGAUUAGUGGCGAACGGGUGAGUAACACGUGAGUAACCUGCCCUGGACUCUGGGAUAACCCCGAGAAAUCGGAGCUAAUACCGGAUAGGACCUCGGAUCGCAUGAUCUGGGGUGGAAAGUUUUUCGGUCUGGGAUGGACUCGCGGCCUAUCAGCUUGUUGGUGAGGUAAUGGCUCACCAAGGCGUCGACGGGUAGCCGGCCUGAGAGGGUGACCGGCCAAACUGGGACUGAGACACGGCCCAGACUCCUACGGGAGGCAGCAGUGGGGAAUAUUGCACAAUGGGCGCAAGCCUGAUGCAGCAACGCCGCGUGCGGGAUGACGGCCUUCGGGUUGUAAACCGCUUUUAGUAAGGAAGAAGCCGCAAGGUGACGGUACUUGCAGAAAAAGGACCGGCUAACUACGUGCCAGCCGCCGCCGUAAAAC
rnacentral:rRNA from 1 species